rnacentral:rRNA from 1 species
CCUACGGGAGACAGCAGUGAGGAAUAUUGGUCAAUGGGCGAAAGCCUGACGCAGCGACGCCGCGUGAGGGAUGAAGGUCUUCGGAUCGUAAACCUCUGUCAGCAGGGAAGAACGGUCACUGUGCUAAUCAGCAGUGAAUUGACGGUACCUGCAAAGGAAGCACCGGCUAACUCCGUGCCAGCAGCCGCGGUAAUACGGAGGGUGCGAGCGUUAAUCGGAAUUACUGGGCGUAAGGCGCUCGUAGGCGGUAUGUCAAGUCAAGGGUGAAAUCCCCGCGCUCAACGUGGGAACUGCCUUUGAAACUGGCAAACUUGAGUGUGUGAGAGGAUAGUGGAAUGCCAGGUGUAGGAGUGAAAUCCGUAGAUAUCUGGAGGAACAUCAGUGGCGAAGGCGACUAUCUGGCACAUAACUGACGCUGAGGAGCGAAAGCGUGGGUAGCAAACAGGAUUAGAUACCCUAGUAGUC